UACGUAGGGGGCAAGCGUUGUCCGGAAUUACUGGGCGUAAAGGGCGCGUAGGCGGGCUGGCAAGUCGGUCGUGAAAUCCUUCGGCUCAACCGAAGAACGUCGAUCGAUACUGCUGUUCUUGAGGGUUGCAGAGGAGACUGGAAUUCCCGGUGUAGCGGUGAAAUGUGUAGAUAUCAUUUGGAACGCCAAUGGUGAAAACAGGUAGCUGGGAGUGUGCUGACACUGAGACACGAAAGCCAGGGGAGCGAACGGG
rnacentral:rRNA from 1 species